UACAGAGGUCUCAAGCGUUGUUCGGAUUCAUUGGGCGUAAAGGGUGCGUAGGCGGCGCGGUAAGUCGGGUGUGAAAUCUCGGAGCUUAACUCCGAAACUGCAUUCGAUACUGCCGUGCUUGAGGACUGGAGAGGAGACUGGAAUUUACGGUGUAGCGGUGAAAUGCGUAGAUAUCAGGAGGAACACCGAUGGCGAAGGCAGGUCUCUGGGCAUUAACUGACGCUGAGGAGCGAAAGCCUGGGGAGCGAACAGG
rnacentral:rRNA from 1 species